GUUCCUGUAGCGCAAUGAAUAGCGCGUUGGACUUUUAAUCCAAAAGGCGUGGGUCCGAACCCCACCUAGAAUA